rnacentral:lncRNA from 1 species
CAGUGCCAAGUGCAUUUUUUUAUUUUAAUUUUUUUUCUCUCUCUCCACUGAUUUAGAUAGAGCCGGUGUGAUUAGACAAAUUUUUUAAUCUAAUCUAACUCUUUUCUCUCUCAUUAUAAAAAAUUAAAAUAUAUAGUUUUUUACAUAUAGCUUUUUAAAUAGUUUAGAUUGUAUGUAUUAGAUAUAAAUUUUGAUUUUAUAAUAUUAUAAAAUAAAUACUUAUUUUAUAGUAUGCAUUAUAGAUUGUAUGCAUUAUAGAUUGUAUGUAUUAUACUUAUUUUAGAUUGUAUGCAUUAUAGAUUGUAUGUAUUAGAUAUAAAAUAAAUUUUCAUUUAGAUAUAAAUUAUAAAAUAAAAAAUGAGAGAGAGAUUGAUAGAGUUUAUGUUAAUUACUUAUUUUCAUAAAUUUAGUUACGAGAAUUACAUGAAAUAUAGUAAUUAAAUCUAUGAAGAUAAAUGAUGCAUUCAAAUUUUGCAGUCAAAGAAUCAUUGACCGACUCAAAUCUAAUAUAUUGAAAGAUUUGAUAGUAAAAAUAAAAUUUUGAAAAGUUGAAUAAUUGAUUCAAAAUAGUCUAUAGUUCAGAAAGUUCUAUAUAUUUUUAUUUUGAUUCUAAUAUCAAAUUUCAAUAUCAUAUUUAUGGUCUGAAGAAUGAUCAAUUUUACAUUCAAAACCUUCUGAGAUAUCCAAAAUAUGAUUGGUUGACUUUAAAUUUGGCAUUCUAAAACUUAUUAAAUAGUUUAACAAAUUUUUUCUUCGAAUGAAAUUACUAUUUGAAUAAAAUUGAUCGAUAUCUGACACCGUCUUCAUCCAAAAUAAAAAUAAAAUAUAAAAAAAGUGAAUUAUGCUUUUGGUCCUCAACUAUAAGGCGCGUGACGCUUAAAUUUUUGAACUUUAAUAUAUGCUAAAUGCCUGGUUCAAAUUAUGAGGCACGUAACACUUUAGUCCUUAAAUUUUAAUUAGUUAUAAUUUUUGGCUCAAAUUAUGAAGUAUAUAACAUUUUAGUACCUAACUUUUGCUGCUGCUAUAAAUAUAAUUUAUUAUUAUCAUUAUGGUUUUUGUUUUUACUUUUUUUACCUUUCUUAUAUUUUUAUUUUUAUAUUGUUACUGCAACAUUAGGUACUUCUUCUUCAGUUUCUUCUAUUUUUAUUCUUUUUAAUUCUUUAACUCUUCUUUUUUUUUGUGCUAUUUUUCUAAUUGUAUAUAUUUAUUUAUUUCUACAAAAUCUGCCGCACCGUGCGGUGCCUUCAUUGGUCUUAUAUGGUGAGAGUGAUCUAGAACCAAAGGUUAUUAUUUGUAAGACUUGGUGAUUUUGGCGUCUUUUAUGUAAAAUUUCAAUCCUUGAAAGAUUUAUCACUAGAACUUCACUAAUUUGCAAAAAUUCAGUACACUACAUUAAUGGUUGGUUUCUAAAGUAUCAUUUGGUUCGGGAAUAAGCACAAAAUGGCUAUUCCAGAAAUAGGUAUAAGUUGAGGUAUAAAGGGGAUUAGAUCAAUUUUGCGUUUGGAGUAAAAUUGGGUUAUUCUUGGGAAUAAAAAAAAAAUAACAUUUACAUAGGUAAGAUGGAAUAAGAAUUAAAGUUGGUAGUUGUAAAUAAAAAAUAAUGUGAUAUUAUCCCUUUCUUUAUAUUAGAUUUUGAAUUUUUAUAUUUUAUAUUUAUAUUUUAGAAUUUUAAAUAUAAACUUUUAAAUUUAGAAGAUUAGUUGCUUUAUGCUACCAGUUAAGUUUUUUCUUUUUUUAAAAAAAUGAAUGAUACGGC